GGAAUUCCCGGUGUAGCGGUGAAAUGCGUGGAUAUCGGGAAGUACACCAGUGGCGAAGGCGGCUCACUGGCCUAGAACUGACGCUAAGGCGCGAAAGCUUGGGGAGCGAACGGGAUUAGAUACCCCGGUAGUCCACGCCGUAAACGUUGUAUACUAGGUGUUAGUGGAUUUAUUCACUAGUGCCGAAGCUAACGCAUUAAGUAUACCGCCUGGGGAGUACACUCGCAAGGGUGAAACUCAAAGAAAUUGACGGGGGCCCGCACAAGCGGUGGAUCAUGUGGUUUAAUUCGAUGAUACGCGAAGAACCUUACCUGGGCUUGAACUGUACCUGACAGGUGUAGAGAUACACCCUCCUUCGGGCAGGUAUAGAGGUGCUGCAUGGUUGUCGUCAGCUCGUGUCGUGAGAUGUUGGGUUAAGUCCCGCAACGAGCGCAACCCUUACUCCUUGUUGCUAACAGGUUAAGCUGAGCACUCUAGGGGGACUGCCGGUUAUAAACCGGAGGCAGCUGAGGAUGACGUCAAAUCAGCACGGCCUUUAUGUCCAGGGCUACACACGUGAUACAAUGGUCGGUACAAAGAGCUGCGAGCCCGCGAGGUGGAGCUAAUCUCAAAAAACCGGCCUCAGUUCGGAUUGCAGUCUGCAACUCGACUGCAUGAAGGUGGAAUCGCUAGUAAUCGCAGAUCAGCACGCUGCGCCGAAUACGUUCCCGGGCCUUGUACACACCGCCCGUCACACCAUCCGAGUUGGCAGCACC
rnacentral:rRNA from 1 species